GAAAUAAAGAAGAAAGAUGAAUAGAGAGAAAUUAAUAAAUAUUUUAAAAGACCAAUUUAACCUUUAUAAUUAUUAUUUUAAAUAUAAAUUAACCUUCAUAAUUAUAAUUGCAUAUAAAAAAAAACCUUCAUAAUUAUAAUUUAAAUACAUUAAAUUAUUAUGGUUUUCACAUCUACUAAUAACAUAACUUAUAAAAAAAAACUAAUAAUAACAUAAAAAUCAAUGACUUAAAUAUUACCGUCAUUGUAUAAGAAUACUGCAAUAUAAAAAUUAAAAUAAAAAAAAAUACUGCCAACGAAAAAAAAUAAGCUACAGCAGAAUUUCAUGUUACUGAGUAAUAAUAUUUAUGUUGAAGCAAUAAUAAUAAUAAUAAAUUUUUUUUUUACAAUAUGAAGUUUGUAUAAUUAAUUAAUAAUUGUAACCAUUAUUAAGAACAACAAAACAAAUUGCCUAAAAAGCCAAAACAAAUAGAUGACAAUGGAGAUAUACUCUAGAAAAGUGGCUAUCAAAAUAAAAA
rnacentral:lncRNA from 1 species